GGACCCUAAGCGGCGCUAUUUGUUGGGAUUGCUUGAAGACCGAGGAGUCUAUGGUUCAAAUGCAAGUUCCAUUAGCCACUGUUGAGCGCGCUACUUCGUGGAUCGAUUCUAUCACACUCGUCACCCGAGGUCUAAUCUUCAGAUCCUUCAAUCUUCUGCUAUUGAAGUGGGACGCAAUUAUUCGUUAAACACUUGAUAGAAUAAUAAUCAAAAAUGCUGUCCCGCAGACUGGUGAGAAACUUUAUGACAUCGGCCAUCAGGAGAUCCGGUGAUGACAAUCACGGUGGAGUUCCUGGAGCUAAUCUGCCAUUCGAUAUCCGCAACAGAUAUAAGUUGACUGCUUAUUUCAUUCUCUACUUCGGAAGUGGAAUCGCCAUUCCUUACCUCAUCGUUCGCCACCAGCUGCUGAAGUCGUAAAUGUCAGCAGGGUUGGGUCCAUUAUUGU
rnacentral:misc_RNA from 1 species